rnacentral:rRNA from 1 species
GACGAACGCUGGCGGCGUGCUUAACACAUGCAAGUCGAACGUGAUUUUUGUGGAAAUUCUUUCGGGAAUGGAAAUGAAAUGAAAGUGGCGAACGGGUGAGUAGCACGUGAGCAACCUACCUUACACAGGGGGAUAGCCGUUGGAAACGACGAUUAAUACCGCAUGAGACCACAGAAUCGCAUGAUAUAGGGGUCAAAGAUUUAUCGGUGUAAGAAGGGCUCGCGUCUGAUUAGCUAGUUGGAAGGGUAAAGGCCUACCAAGGCGACGAUCAGUAGCCGGUCUGAGAGGAUGAACGGCCACAUUGGAACUGAGACACGGUCCAAACUCCUACGGGGGGCAGCAGUGGGGAAUAUUGCACAAUGGGGGGAACCCUGAUGCAGCGACGCCGCGUGAGCGAAGAAGGUUUUCGAAUCGUAAAGCUCUGUCCUAUGAGAAGAUAAUGACGGUAUCAUAGGAGGAAGCCCCGGCUAAAUACGUG